CAUUACUUAUCUUGUUGUUAUAUAGUAGUAACUAGUAAGUAUUGAAUAUAUAAAUAAAAUGAAUGAAAAUGGAAUGUGUUUUAUAAGUAAAUCAAAAAAUGCCAGGGUCUUGUCAUUAAUGACAGAGAGAGGAGGAGGAUAUUGCAUACUGAUAGUAAAGAUUUCCAAAGAAAAUGGUUUGCUUCUUCUCGGUGGGCUGAAGCUGCUCAAUUCGCACUUUCUGCAAGUCUUUCCUCAUCACAAAGUGACCUGCAACAACUGGAAAAUAAUGCCGAGAACAGCAUCCUUCAGAAAACGAAGGAUGCAGUUGUCACUCUGCAGGAUGUUUUGGAAGGAAAACAUGAUGAGGCUAUAGAGAAUACCUUAAAUGAAUACCAAGUUCCCAGAGAUCGAUGGUGGUCGGCUUUCUACAAAGUGAUUGAAGGUAUCACUCUCAUUUUCAUGAC
rnacentral:lncRNA from 1 species